UACAGAGGUCCCAAGCGUUGUUCGGAUUCAUUGGGCGUAAAGGGUGCGUAGGCGGCGCGGUAAGUCGGGGUGUGAAAUCUCGGAGCUUAACUCCGAAACUGCAUUCGAUACUGCCGUGCUUGAGGACUGGAGAGGAGACUGGAAUUUACGGUGUAGCGGUGAAAUGCGUAGAUAUCGUAAGGAAGACCAGUGGCGAAGGCGGGUCUCUGGACAGUUCCUGACGCUGAGGCGCGAAGGCCAGGGGAGCAAACGGG
rnacentral:rRNA from 1 species